GCAUUGUAGGCAUUGACUAACAAUAAGCAUUGUCGGCAGUGUACAAAAAUGUUGGCAGUGUUUUACAGCAAUGCCAAAAAUCGGCAUUGGUGUACAAAAUUUCGGGUUGUGAAUUCCCCCUCGGCGGCUACUGUAUUUUCUAUUAUACUACUUGGGUUUUUUGCUAUAUUGCCACUAUUUAUAUCAAGAAAUAGUAUUAAAAUUAAAAAAGAACAUGUAAUUCUUUACGACAUAUUAAUGAAGUAAUUUUUUUGUACGUUAUUACACGUAUUUAAUAAAUUUAAAAUGUUAUUUUUUUAUACCUAAAUAAUUAUAAAGUUUAAUUACUUGUGAUAAAAACCAUUUUUAUUGCGAAAAUAAGCUACACAAUUAUAUUUAUAUUUAUAAGUUAUAUUUAUUAAUAAAGAUAUAUUAAUCUGUACGUGCACACGCCAAGGGAUAAAAGACGGCAAGGGAUAAAUUUUCAGAUAUCAUGUUUUAUCAAUUUUAAACUCUUUUGAUACAAUAUAUUAUAAUGUAAGAAAAAAAUUAGUUUUUUCUUUUCUGAAAUUAUAAUUUAAUGUAUAUGUAAUGUAUAUGUAAUGAUAAAUUCUAAUUUAAAAAAAUAAAAUGUUGAUUGAAUAAGUGAGAAAACGUUUAAAUAUGUAUUAAUGAAAUAAAAAAUGUUUUAAUUAACAUUUUACUUUAAAUAAACAUUUGUCAUUUUUAAAUAUCAAGCAAAAAACUAUAGUAUAUUAAAGUUAUCGUAAAUAACUUUAAGUAUUUAAAGAACCCAUGCUUUAAACUAAUUUAUUGAUAUUUUUCUUUUUUUAUUUUGAUUGUCUUAAAUAAAUUUUUUACUACUGGACAAUAAAAUCUUUUUUGUUUGUGCGUAUAUAAAGAUAUAAAACUGUUAAUGCGUUUAUAAUAAUUAAUAAAAUAAGUAUAUACAUAUACUAACAAUGUAAAAUAUUGUUGACACCUAAUUAUUUAAAGAAAAAAGUUAAUAUAAAGCUAGUAUAUAUUUGAUGUCGGACUGUAAAAUAGUACUGCUAUAUAAUAUAUAAUCAAUACGCGACUAAUAAAACUGUUAGUGCUGUGCCAGCUUAAUUGCCGACAGCGGACCGUACUUCUAAUAAUAUUACAAAUUCUAUCUGGGACACUUCUUUUCGUUAAAGAUAAUUAUCGAACGCUUUUUUAACCUUGAAGUAGAUAUAGGUGGAGUGACCACAGCAUCUGAAGCGGGAUUCUAUAACUCUUAACGAUGGGAUCGGUAUUGUUACAUUAUUGUUGCGCAGGUUUUUUUACUAUGUCCAUAUAUUUGUGCAACGACAAUAUAACGAUACCGAUAUUAUCGUUAAAAAUUAUAGACUCUUGCUUUAAGUAACGAAGAAAGGUAGGAUUAGAAGCUUAUUUUGAAAAAGAAAAAGUAUUCUCCAAAGUCUUAAAAUUCAUUUUUUUAAUAUUUCUCUAUUUUCUAAGGGUUUAACUAAUGUAAAUUAAAAUAUAACAUAAUAUACUGAUAAAAAAUAUAACUAUAAAAGUCCAAGUAAAAUACGAGAACAGUUUUUAAAUUUUAAAUUUCGAUAAAUCUUUCUCUCUUUAAGUGAUAUAUAUCAUAUUUAAUCUUAAAUAUGUCAGUCAUAUUUUAAGUUUAUUUGUUUUGUGCGAAAAGAUUAUGACAAUGUUUUUUGAGAAUUAAUCCUUUAACAUAAUUUAAUACAGUGUGAUGUGAACAUAUGGAAAAUAAUUUUCUAUGAGCUUUCGAAAUAUCACAUAACAAAAUAAUCUGUUAUAUUAAUUGAGUAAUCUGGAAUAAUUUGAUCUCGUGUACUCCAAGAUAGUUACAUUAUUACAUUAAUAAUAAAGACAAAUGAUUUAUAAUCAAUUCCAAUUACUUUGCUUAUAACAAUUUAAUUAUUAUGUUUUAAUUAAAAUAUAUUAUUAAGAAAGUUAUGUAUUAAAAUUAAUACAAUUCUUGCUGUAGAAUAAUCUCGUGCAACAAACAAUUCACCAUGUAUUUUUCCGCAACACUCAUUUCAUUGUAAAAUGUAUGCUAGCGUUUUCCGCAGUACAUCCGGAUUUCAUAGAUCAAGCACGUGCGUUCGAUUUCAGAGGGAAUCGACGCAGAUAUGCUGCCUGUAUGAUAGUUUCCUAUUUCGCGAUGCAAAGAAUUUUUGCAACUUACAUAUGAAUGAAAAUGAAAUCGUAAUAGUCCGCGUUUUCGAUACUUUGGCGUGUUCGAUAUAAAUCCGUGGACUUGCGGGCGCCGUUUCGCGAUAAAUAACUAAAAACUAUUUUCGCAUCGUCGAAUAAACGUAUACAUGUGUCUGUGUGUGCCUUGGUACGUGUGUCGUAACGAGUGAUGUUGCCGGUAUGUAAACGAGGUGACACGCUCGCGCGUGCGUGCAUGUGCAUGCGUAUAUGAGAGAGUGAGAACAGAGAAUGCAAUGAGAUUCUGCGUAUUUCACGGCAACUGCGUUAAACAAACAUCGACGAGGAGGCUACACGCAAGUGAUUGCGCCGGGAUCACUACAGCUGUCGCAAUUGCAUCCGAUUGGCCGUCCCGUUGCGAUCUACUUUACACACGAUGAGCAGGUGCCGGCAGUCGGCGACCUGUCCGCAAAUAAUUCGCGCCGUAAUAUCUUCGAGGCAUAUCGUAAUUACGGUAGCUCGAGCUUCUAAAAUAAACGGUUCUGAUUAAGGAUGCGAAUCGAGUCUCUAAAAAGGUCAAACUAAAUAUUUAAGCAAGAUAUAGUCUAUUAGAAAGAAGGAUGUUUCGAAAAGGUCUGUUUUUGUUGUGCUUGGGAAAAAUAAAACGAACAUUAUUUCUACAGUUUUUGAGACGAGGAGGAAUUCGAUAGUACUAGAUAAAAUUACGUGACGAGAACACAUAGAAAAUUGCGUUUAAAUCGAAAAAAACAUGAGUCAUUGCAGUUAUUUGCAAGAUAAAUCGACAUGCUAUACGUAUUGAUACACGGUGCGAUGUAUCACGUUUCGAUAUUAACAUCAUUGAGACCAGGUCAUGACUCGAGACGUUUUUAAACAUCUAUAUCUUGUUACAUACUUGCUGGAUUUUAAUUGACUGUCCUGUAAUAAGUCCCUUCCCCGUACGCUGCGUACUACAGAUUAAUCAACCGGCGUCUGUGCAAGAAGAUAGACGUGCAUUAACCUCGCCUUGGAUAAUUACGCAGCCUCACAAAAAAUAGUGUUAUCUCCGAGAGAUUAGACCCAUGUGUUAUGUAUUUUGAGGCUCUGAAAUCGAAUAUGACUUCAGAAUUGCGCCAUCAGAUCAGAAUUUUUUUUUACCUUCAAAAAAUUUCAAAACAUUCCUAAAAUUACACUAUUCAGCCUGGUAAAAAAAAGCCUGAUUUUAUGGCGCAAUUCUGAAGUCAUAUUUGGUUUCAGAUCCUUAAAAUACAUAGGGAUACAUGGGUCUAAUCUCUCAUGAGGCAUGACACUUUUUCUUUUUUGUGUGGCUGUGUUAUCACUCACCUCUUCGUCGAUGUAACAAUUUCGUGUCAACAUUUUGCGUAAAAAUAAAAGAUAGAUUCCACAAGAAUGCAACAAAAUUCGUGCAAAAGAUAUUUAUACAUUUACUUUUAGAUUUCAAAAAAAUAUUACGCUUGUUUUCAAAGAAGAGCAAAGUCUUCCUUAUGUCGAGCUUACACCAUGAUAAUAAAAUUGACGAGUUCAAUUAGGGAGGCUAAUAUUCUAUAAAAGCUAUUAGUUUUCUAAAACCAUAGCUGAUAUAUUGAGAGUAGACCAAAAAAUAUUUGGGUCAUCAUGACCCACCUCAAUGUGUAACAUUUUCCCACCCACAAUGACAGCGAGUUAAAAAUAUAGAAUAUCUUAUAAAAGACACAACGGUCGGGUGCCUGCACGAACGUGUUCAACUUUCCCCACCACCGCCACGGCGCGCGGUGCGCCGCGCCGUGCGAGCGCACGAAACUUUUCUUUAUGCCUGAUAUUUUCGCUAUUAAAUAUAGCAUUUUUAUAAAACAUAUCGUAUUUUUAAUUUAAAACAUCAUGUAUCAUACUAUGUACCAUGUCAACAUAUGUAGCGUAGCGACCUAUCUCGCAAAUAACUGCGAUCUCACACAUUUUCCCGAUUUAAACGCAAUUUUCUAUUUGUGUUCCCGUCAUGUGAUGUAAUUUCAAUUAGCACGUCACAUUCCUCGCCUCAAAAAGUGUAAGAAAUGAUGUUUAUUUUCCUCGAACACAACAAAAACAGACCUUUUCGUGAUAUCCUCCUUUUUUAAAUUCUUCUAGAAAACUUUUUAGAGUUUAACUAAAUAUAUCUACUUAUAAUAGGAAUUCUAUAAAUAAUAUAUUUAUGUUAAUGGAUAUUCAUGAUACAUAUUAUGUGUUUACGUAUCAAUAAAACAUUAAUAAAAUUGACAUUCUCAAUGUGUUAAAUCGUCUUGAAGACCUUAAUAUUAUAGAAAAAAAUUAUAUGGUGCUAAAUAUUAAAAAAAUUUAAGAUAACAUUGAUUUUUUAUUGAAAAAAAUUGUUUUUAAUUCUUUUUAUCGCAUAUUAUAGUCUGCGUGAAACAGAUGAAUAAUUGUACUUUUCAAUUUUUUUUUUUUUUUAAUUAUCGAAAGUGCUUAAAAAAUCGUUCGGACCGUUACGUUGAACAUUCUGUAUAUAUGUAUGUAUGCACAUACACGCAUUGUAUAACUUACUUUUGAUUUGCUUUUCAUUCUUUUUAACUUGCCCCAAAAUUUGAUCUCUUGAAUCAGGAAAUGAAAUUAGAUAAUGUGCAGCUGUCUUAUCGCUGAUUUGGAGAAAAUGGUAAUGUUAACAAAUUAUGUGAAAAAAGAUACAAUGAAAAGAGGAACGACAGCAAAGAUAUCAUGUUGGCACUGCAAGAAUCAUUGUAAUUUAUUUAAGUACCAAGCUACUGGUAAUUUAUAAUAUUAUCACUUAAUAAACUCUAACAAUACAAUUAUGUUCUAAAAUUGUGCGGUAAUAUUAAAAAUUACGCACAAAAAGUUACAAGUGGUUCGAUUGUGUGAUAAUUCCAUUAGUUUAUUUAUUUGAACCAACUUUAAAGUAAUUUACUCUUUUUGUAAUAAAUAAAGAGAUUUAUAGCCUAGCAUGAAGAACAUAAAAGAGGCUAUAAAUCAUGUAAAGCAUCUAUAUAAAAUAAUAUACGUAACAUAUGUAUUUUUAUCAUAAUAAUUUCACAGAUGAAUUAUUAAUUAUUAUUAAUUAUAAUUAAUUUAUCGAUUAUAUUUCUAAUUAUGAAAUCGUGCAUUGCAUUAAAGAGAUAACUUGCCAAUUAAUCGAGAUUAUUUAUUGAAUUAAUUAUCGCAUUGAUCUUGCGAUUUAUAAAGCGAGCUAAGUGAUUUUGCAGUUAUUUCUAAAUAUAUUAUUAUUUACUAUAAAUUUGUCGCUCGAAAUCGAUAAUAAUACAUACGUUGUUACUUGUGAAAGGCGAUCGAUAAGAUUCGUAACGACUGUUGCAAGCCGUCCUCGUUACUUUACUUAAUUUAACCUCGUCCUAGAAUUAAGAAUCCGUGGAUUCAGUUUUUAGUAGGAAAGGAAAAAGACUUUUCGCUUAAACGAAUGCAAGUAAAGUUACAAAUUCAAUGUUUUUGACACAUUAUGAUAUCUUUGAUAAUACGACAAGUAUAUUAAAUAGUAUACGUAUCUUUAGAUUAUGUAUAAUAUUUUUUUAGAGUAAUUGCUUAAAUAAAAAUAUUAAGAAAAUUAUAAUAAUUAUUGUGGUAUUUAUAAAUUUAUCUAUAAAUUAUUUUGAUCAAAAUUUGAUGUAUAAAUGACAGUUAUAUAAAGUUUAACUCUUAUAAAUUAUAAUUGUUAAUGCAAAAUUUUGUUGAUUUAAAGAAGUCUAAUUCUUAUCAUUUAUAUCAAGACUUAAGAUGUAAACAUAUUUCUUCUUCCACCUAGAUUUUACACAUAAAGAUUAGUAAUUUCAUAAUUAUCGAUGUUGAAACUAAUGCAAUUUGUUAUUUAUCAGAUGACUUUUUUCGUCAUUUUUUAAUCGAGUACAAAAUUAACUUUGUUAUAACAGAAUAUUUUUAGAAGUUCUGUUUUACAUCUACUAUAUAUUUCGGCUUAUAACUAACACUUAAUAUUCAUCAGAAUAGAAUCAUUCGAAUAAAACAGAAUAUACACAUGAGUAUAACUGCUUAUACAUUGCUUAUACAUUUUCGGUUUUACUGACAAAUUUUCAAAAUAUAUAUUCGAAAUUCUACUGUCAUUUGCACAUUGUUGAGUUGAUACAGCAUAUCUUGGAAGUUGCAUUAAGAUUAAUACCAACUACAUAAUAUUUCAUGUAACUUUAGAGGAGCUCUGUAUCGGAUUUUAAGUAUAUGCGUCAAAUAUCAUAUUAAAAGCGUUGUAAGUGCAAACCUUAAUGCUUGCUCUCUUAAGAGGAUGUUGAAAACGUCUUUUUUUUAUCGAUUUUACUAAAAACGAUUAAUUUUUGCGCACGUUGUUUUUCUAAUUGUAUUUACAGAUUUAAAAAUCCUUCUCCUCAAUUGAAGUAUAGGCACUAAUGUACCUCAGUGAUCGACUAGUGCUCGACUUUAUGCCAGAAACGUUAAAUUUAUAUCUUUUUUUUUUAUUUAAUUUUAGUUCAACAUAGCAUCUAGAGCUGUCAAUGGGUGCCAAUAUUUGUUUUAUACAAAUAUUUGAAUCAUUUUCUACAAAAUGAGAUUACUGUAAGGUGCAAAAUACACGUAAAAACAACGUAGAGUUUCUGAAAUUUAGCUUAAAAGUCUAAUACAAAAAGUUUGUAUGCCCCUCUGAAAAUUUGUGCAUUUACAAUCAAUCAUGGUAAAUAGAGCAGUUAUUGUGGAACACAAUAAGUGACAGAUCUGGCAUUAAAUGGCGCUAAAGUCGAAGAACAAGGACAGAUGAUGUAUUCAUGCAUUGGAUAAAGAGCACUAGCCUAAUCGCUUGAUCUUAGCGCUAUUCCCCUUACUCUUUCUCCUUCCCCGCGCAACCGUGUGCCGCUCGACUCUCGUUCGAAAAAAAAAGAAUCUGUGAUACCGACGUUGAGUGAAUUCGAGUGUCACUUCAGCAUCCCCAUAAUCUGGUUUCAAUGUUUCUUUCUCUCUACUUCCAUCACAAAUUCUGAAAAUAAGAUUUAAUCAAAAAUAAAAUACAAAACGAAAGUCACAUGUUUAUGUAUAUUAAUGUUUUUUUUCCCAAGAUAGUUUCGACAACAAAAUCUUUUACUUUUGAAUAACCUCCAUCGAUUUAAUAAAAAAAAAAAAUUUACCCAAGUUAUAAUAUUGUAUGUUUAUCACAGAUGGAGCUAAUCUUGUGUUAAGACGACCCUUUCAUCAAUUAAUUAAUUGCAUUAAGGACAAAUGCAGCUUUUACAAAACAAAAUUGCAUUUGCGAUUGAUAAAUCAAAUUAAAAAAUUCGUCUUUAGUAAGAUAAUAAAUCUGUUAAACGACCCUGCACUCUUCUUAUGGAAAUUGGGUUUCACUCAAAUGGACUGAAUAUGAUAUGUCUAUCCUCUAUAUAUUGCAUAUGUAUAUACAUAUCUACAGAGAGGGAGAGAGAGAGAGAGAGAGAGAGAGAGAGAGAGAGAGAGCCAGUGGUCCGACUGAUAUGACCACUUUGUAGAAUAUACAGGGUUUUCCAAAAGUAUGGAAAUACUUAAAUAUUUCGAAAACUAAGCAUUUCCGAAAGAAAUUUUUCAGACAAAAAUUGUAGGGUUUAAAAAUAUCUAUUUGCAGAUCUUAUCACUUUCUUUAACGUUGGUGAUGUCGCUAAGGUCAAUGUCUUCAAUUUUUUUUUUUAAUGGAACGCUUAUUUUUGAUUCCAGAAUUUAAUAGCUAGUUUCAAGACUUUUUCAAAAGUAUGGAAAUGCUUAUUAUAAUGAAGUCAUUUUUCAUUAAGUACUUUCCGAGUUGUGAGGCUUGAAUGUUACAACACUGUCACUUUGAAAUCUGUGUACUGUCUUUUAAUUUCUAAAUAUUUAGAAAUAAUUUUUUGAAAAAAAUAAUUAAAAAAUUACAAUCUUUCAAUCUCUCUAUCACUACUCUCGCACUUAUCAAAGCUACGCGGCACUUCUUGGUAAAAAAUUUUCUUAAGUCUUAUAACUUACAUAACCUAUAGGUGCACUUCAGAGAGCUAAGUUAUGUAUAUUGCGUCAACAGCGCACUUCUCAGGUGCAACCUGUCACUGUCAUUGUGCUACAGUCUCUCCAUAAAAGUUUCCAAGCCUUGAUGUUGUUAUACUUUGUGUAUGUGUCAAAAUCCAGCAUCAAAUCAAAGUUAAAAUUAUAAAAAUUUUUGCGGAAAGAAAAUAUUUUCCGUCCAACUUAAAAAUAAUAUUUUUAGCCAAAAAGAUGAUUUAUAAAAAAAAUCUAUAAAUAAAUAAUUUAAUCACCAAAAUUUAUAAUUAAGUGUAAAAAGUAUAACAGUAAGUAUACCAUAGUAAUGCGUGUUCAUAUUGAAAUUUUGUAUAUAUUUUAUUAAAUGCAAUAUAUAUUUUUAGAUUAAAUUAUUUUUGUUAUUUGUAGCAUUGUAUAUAUAUAUUUUUUUCUUUUUUUAUAUUUUUCUCUUGUUUAAUGUGAUUUUAUACAAAAUUGAAAUGCAGCGUAAACUGGUACACCUAUCGUUAAGAUGGAUUACAAUUAAAAAUAUGUACUAUUUACUAUUGAAUGAAAGGCAUAUCAUUAUAAGAUCUAUCUAUUAAGGGAGUAUUCCAGUUGGACAAAACAAAAAAGUCGAUUUUUUUAAUCAGCUUUUUUUCAAUCUUUGUACUAUUACAAAUAAACUUGUAAAACGAUUUAAUGAAAAUCGAAUAGUUUGUCACUAUUUUCACGUUUUGAAGAACGCUUAUAUGAGUCAAAUGAUAUUUUUGUAAAAACUUUAAACGUGUUUUUCUUUAAUCUGUUUUUUAACUUUGUCGCAGGCUUUUCUCAGAAACUAAUCCAAUUAACAUUUGCUUUGAAGCAAACUAUUCGUAAUACUUGUGGCUAUGGCUGGUACUAGGAUUUUUUUUUAUAUUAUGAAAUAUUUUUUUACAGCUUGCAAAAGUUUAAAAAAUGUUGCAAAUUUUGUUCUUCAAUUUUAAUUGAUCGCCAUUUCGUUCAACAUUGUGAUAAAUGAUUUAUUUUAGUUCCAACGAUAACCACAUUUGUAGGUUAAAAUCUUGUUAGUUUAAAAUUAGCAUAAAGGACGCAAACAAUACAUAUAAAUAGAAUUUUUUAAAUUAUACUGUACUUAUAAAUAACAUUUAUUAAUAAUAAGGACUAAAAAUUAAACUUUUAUUAAGUUAAAGAAGUAUUAAACAUAUAUUUAAAAUAUUUUACAUGUUUUCAGUUCAGAGCACAAAAUUCGUAAAAAUAGCUUUUAAAAUGAUUCUUUAAACAGUUCAAACUAUAAUACUUCCUUUUUUCUUAGUUAAUUUUUUUUUCCUUAAUUUUUUAUAACAGAAGUGUGAUAACUCUUUAUGGUUUUUUUUUUAUUUUUGUGAUGUGUUUUUUUACAGAACUGUUUGUUUUAUCUAUCAGGAACUGUAAAACUAUUGAAAAUAAACUCAGAACUGUCAAUGUUUAGUGAUUUUCCACCAAAUGAUAUGCUUCACACUUUUUACAGUUUACACAGAUAUAUUGAGAAGUUUUAACUUACUUUUAAACCCGGUUUCAAACGACCUGUUUAGAAAGGAAUCUGAUGGCAAAAUAUUCUCCAUGGUUUUCUAUUGCCUCCCGAGAAAUAACGAUCGAAUAAAAUCCGAUAUUUUUAAUCGGAUUUGGACCUUUGGCACAGAGAACAGACGCAUAAUUCUCUGCGCCAUAAUCUUAUUAAAUUAGUAACUUAAUCUAAUUUUUAUAUAUUUGCGUUUAUAUUGCGUUUUGCGGAACAACAAAUUUAUAUUUGUCGACAAAAAUUAUUUUACAUCUAAGUAAAAGCUUGUAGGAAUCUUCAUGUACAUUAACUUGUAUUUUGUACAAAUAAUUUAUGUGAAAAGAAAAGGAAAAUAUAGCAUUAAUGUCUCCAAUAUUGGAGCAGUUUUGGAGUUUAAUUUUGUCGGAAUAAUUAUUGCUUGUCUUAUUAAAAACUUAAUUGUUGCAAAAUUUGAAGCAAUAUUAUAAAAACUGCUAUAUCAUCUAAUAGAAGACACUUUCUAGUUUGUAUUUAUGUUUCUAAAGUUUUAUUUCCAGUUUUUAUUUAAACAAUACAAUCCAAAAACGCGAAAUAGUAUGUCAGUGUUGGCGACCUUGCUUUAUCAUAUCAUACAUUUAUUAAUUUGUGAGAACGUAGUUUAAAAUUAAUCUAGAUAACGUACACACAUAUGGGAAAAGUAUAUUCAGUCUUUUUUAAGAACAACUUUUUUAACUAUUUUUCGAUAACAAGAAAAAUAUUUAGGUAUUUAUUUAUGUUUUGAAUAUGAAUAUUUACUAUGCGUUUAAAAUACAAAAAGAAUAUAUUUAUUCUUUAUAAAUUGUAAGACAGUACUAUAAAAAUUAAAUUUCACUGAUAGGCGCAUUGUGAAUGUUUCGAAAAAAAGAAAAAAGAGAAAAAGAUUGUAAGCAAAAUCGAAACAAGAACAGAAAGUCAUAGAGUGACGGAAUGAGAAGAAAAGGAGAAGGGAAAAGCCGCUCACGAAGCAUUAACGAAGAAAGCUUUCAAGCGGACGGUUAAGAGUUGGGUGGAAUUUAUGGCCGCGCCGAAUUACCGACGUAAAGCAGCAGCCGCGUAGCGAAA